rnacentral:rRNA from 1 species
GACGAACGCUGGCGGCGUGCCUAAUACAUGCAAGUAGGACGCAGUUGCGACCGGGUGAGUAACGCGUAGGUAACUACCUAUUAGAGGGGGAUAACUAUUGGAAACGAUAGCUAAUACCGCAUACUAGUAGAUGGACCUGCGUUGUAUUAGCUAGUAGGUAGGGUAAUGGCCUACCAAGGCAACGAUACAUAGCCGAGCGGAGCGGGUGAGCGGCCACACUGGGACUGAGACACGGCCCAGACUCCUACGGGAGGCAGCAGAAGGGAAUCUUCGGCAAUGGGGGGAACCCUGACCGAGCCACGCCGCGUGAGUUAAGAAGGUGUUCGGAUCGUAAAGCUCUGUUGUUAAGGAGGCGGUACGUAACCAGAAAGGGACGGCUAACUCCGUGCCAGCAGCCGCGGUAAUUC